rnacentral:tRNA from 2 species
GCCACCUUAGCUCAGCGGCUAGAGCAACACUUUUGUAAAGUGAAGGUCGUCGGUUCGAAUCCGACAGGUGGCUCCA